CCUACGGGGUGCAGCAGUGAGGAAUAUUGGUCAAUGGACGAGAGUCUGAACCAGCCAAGUAGCGUGAAGGAUGACUGCCCUAUGGGUUGUAAACUUCUUUUAUAAAGGAAUAAAACGAGGCACGUGUGCCUUUUUGCAUGUACUUUAUGAAUAAGGAUCGGCUAACUCCGUGCCAGCAGCCGCGGUAAUACGGAGGAUCCGAGCGUUAUCCGGAUUUAUUGGGUUUAAAGGGAGCGGAGAUGGGUUGUUAAGUCAGUUGUGAAAGUUUGCGGCUCAACCGUAAAAUUGCAAUUGAUACUGGCAGUCGUGAGUACAGUUGAGGUAGGCGGAAUUCGUGGUGUAGCGGUGAAAUGCUUAGAUAUCACGAAGAACCCCGAUUGCGAAGGCAGCUUACUAAACUGUGACUGACAUUGAUGCUCGAAAGUGUGGGUAUCAAACAGGAUUAGAUACCCGAGUAGUC
rnacentral:rRNA from 1 species